GAUGAAGAACGUAGCGAAAUGCGAUAAGUAAUGUGAAUUGCAGAAUUCAGUGAAUCAUCGAAUCUUUGAACGCACAUUGCGCCCGCCAGUAUUCUGGCGGGCAUGCCUGUUCGAGCGUCAUUUCAACCAUCAAGCCCCCGGCUUGUGUUUGGGACCUGCGGCUGCCGCAGGCCCUGAAAAGCAGUGGCGGGCUCGCCGUCACACCGAGCGUAGUAGCAUACAUCUCGCUCUGGGCGUGCUGCGGGUUCCGGCCGUUAAACCACCUUCAUAACCCAAGGUUGACCUCGGAUCAGGUAGGAAGACCCGCUGAACUUAAGCAUAUCAAUAAGCGGAGGA
rnacentral:misc_RNA from 1 species